AACUUUGACUUUGACUAACUUGGUUUAAAACCGCGCCAGAAUCUAAGCGCAGCAGGACGUUCAAUUAGUAAACUGUCUUUGAUACAGGUCUGCGCUCAUUGCACAUUUCGUUUGGAACCACGUAGGCGCUCUUCUUCAUGCCGGGCAGGACGGAUUGGAUCCAGGUGCCGUGCGAGGCGUGGCAGCCUGCCCUCGCGGGAGAACAAGGAAAGCGCCUGUCAAGCGCUUGAGAUGAAAAUCCUCUUGACGGCAUUAUAAUGGAGUCAGGUGGAAGUACUUGACCUGCUCAUGACCUACGUAUGUUUAUCCAUCAAGGCCGUCCGUGUGAAUCAUCAGCCGCGUCCGUCAGGAAGGAAGUGCAUGAAGGGUCGGACACGGGACGCUGCUGUUCAAUCCCUGACCGCCAUUUUAACCAUGACCACCAUGUUCCCCAACCGCGACCCGGUAUUUCUUCCAACCCUGGAGGAGAUUGUUUUCCGUGACGUCCACCAAUGAACCUGUGCGCCAACAAAAGAGUGACGGAGUGAUCGCACCAUUUUAUUUCCCCACGGUGAGACAUAUGGGAACCUGCAGCGCCCCCACAUGCGCCGCGUGACAUGACUCAGGUGAGAUAUUAAUAUCUUCUUGCCUCCCAACAGCGGAUGGAGCAGAACCAUUAUCAGUGUUGUAAUCGCUGCUACCUGGAAGCAGUGAAACCAGCCGAGAGGACGUGAAUAAUUCCACCCAGCACCUGAGCCUCGUCUUCCAAUAAUCUGUAUCCACGCAUAUUAUCUGUCACGGGGGGGGGGGUAAAUCCCCGCAAUCCUCCGGUGAAGUGAAACUGAUUAGAUUUCAAACCGCGGCGACGUUGAUGUAGAUGCGAGGGCCGCGAGACAUGGCGUCUCACAGUGCGUUGUCUCGCGCUCAUCCUCAAUGUAUUUCCUGGCUUAAAGCGACAGCCGUUCAGACAGAGGAAAUGGGAACACGUCUCGUGGAUAAUGAUUAUUUGUGUGCAUCGUUUUCUCGGCUGAUGAAAGAAGGCAACACAUCCCUGGUGAGGCGAUGACAGCUGACUGAAGGCUGCUCCUUUUUUUGGUGAAAUUUCCUACAAAAGCCAGCAACACUUUGCAUUCAAACGGCCUAUUUUAAGAUGAGCAACUUUGUAAGGUUAAGGUUCAAAUAUUCUUUGUACUGGCUGAAGGAUUUGGGUUUCUCCAAAUACUUGAUGACACCAAAUGUGAAACGUUUUGGAGCAUUUGUACAGAACAGGAUGUUCAAAAUGGAGGAGGUCUUCUUGUUUUUAUCCCAGACAGAAACCGGAGGUGAGAACUGAAGAAUCUCUUUGUGCUGCUAACAGGAGCAGAAAGGUAUUUUAAGGUCAGGACUAAAUCAGAGGCAGUUCUGCGGGAUUCAAAGUGGUUUGAAUAGGGAGCAUAAAUCACGCAAACCCCGAGGAGGGUUCAUUACCUUGAAAAUAAAGCUUUUACCGCUGAUUGCAUUGGGCAGCCGAGCUCAGCCCCCACAGCCGCCACAUAAGCCCUCGAAACCCGUCGGCUUCGCCCUUCUUCUGUUUACAACACCAACAGAGUCUUGAGAUUUGAUGGAAGGAUAAUGGAAAACAGCGCAGCGUUUGUUUGUCGCGCUCCUCAGCUGGUUGAAAUUCACACCGGGCGCUCUUCUUCCACGGAGUCAUUUCUCAGAGGCAGUGAAGAAUGGCGCCGCGAUAACAGAUGAGAUUCUCAGCCGGCGCUUGGCAUGCUGGACCGAAAAGAGAGAAGAAGAAGACGGCACGGAGGAGGCAUUAAAAACUCUCUCGCCUUGUGUGUCUGUGUGUGUGUGUGUGGGUGGGUGUGUGUGCGCGUGGGGGACACACACACACACACACACACAGACACUUAAAUGUGGGAAGGCGAUUGCUGACGUCGGUGCUCUCAGUAACGUAUCAGUGUUGUCUCAAUAGCUACAAAUCAAUGUGGGUCCGGACAGCCUCUGCAUUGCAGGCUCCCGCCCGGCGAGGCUGCGGGCGCUGCUGCCCCGCGUGCCCGUCAGGGCGGGGGGGCUUCAAACGGAGGGAAACAAAGCGGAGGGGAGCUGUUAGUGCAUUAAUGUAUGCUGCAUUUUUCUAUCAUUUAACUGAAG
ensembl:lncRNA